UUUAUAAAGAGGGGCGGGGGAGCAGCCGCGGGCCCAGGGCCCUCCCCGGAACUGGCGGGGCAGCUGGAAGCCAACAGGAAAGUGGAGCGAAAACACAGACCCAGGGGCGCCGCACCCGCGGGCGCGCACACACACACAUUAAGAUGAGGAAACUGAGGCCCAGAGAGGCCAGAGUCCACAUGAGAGCUGUGCGGGGGGUGGGGCACAAAGGGGCCCUUCGUGGAAGCCAGGCUGGCUGGCGCCAAGAAAGCGGAACUGCGGGGCCCCAGGGCCGAGGAGGUCCGAGGUCCAGGAGCUGGCCUUUUCUGGGCCAGCGUUUCACCUGGCGGGAAACUUAUAUUUCAGGGAUUCAUGGACACUGCGUUAAUCAACAGAGAAAUCAUAUCAUAGGAGAGUUGUUUCCUUUUCUAAUUAAUCAUGUGACUGACUUGUCUCUGAAACCAUCUCAUCA